rnacentral:rRNA from 1 species
CGGGGUGGAUUAGUGGCGAACGGGUGAGUAACACGUGGGCAAUCUGCCCUGCACUCUGGGACAAGCCCUGGAAACGGGGUCUAAUACCGGAUACUGAUCGCCUUGGGCAUCCUUGGUGAUCGAAAGCUCCGGCGGUGCAGGAUGAGCCCGCGGCCUAUCAGCUUGUUGGUGAGGUAAUGGCUCACCAAGGCGACGACGGGUAGCCGGCCUGAGAGGGCGACCGGCCACACUGGGACUGAGACACGGCCCAGACUCCUACGGGAGGCAGCAGUGGGGAAUAUUGCACAAUGGGCGAAAGCCUGAUGCAGCGACGCCGCGUGAGGGAUGACGGCCUUCGGGUUGUAAACCUCUUUCAGCAGGGAAGAAGCGAAAGUGACGGUACCUGCAGAAGAAGCGCCGGCUAACUACGUGCCAGCAGCCGCGGUAAUACGUAGGGCGCGAGCGUUGUCCGGAAUUAUUGGGCGUAAAGAGCUCGUAGGCGGCUUGUCGCGUCGGUUGUGAAAGCCCGGGGCUUAACCCCGGGUCUGCAGUCGAUACGGGCAGGCUAGAGUUCGGUAGGGGAGAUCGGAAUUCCUGGUGUAGCGGUGAAAUGCGCAGAUAUCAGGAGGAACACCGGUGGCGAAGGCGGAUCUCUGGGCCGAUACUGACGCUGAGGAGCGAAAGCGUGGGGAGCGAACAGGAUUAGAUACCCUGGUAGUCCACGCCGUAAACGGUGGGCACUAGGUGUGGGCGACAUUCCACGUCGUCCGUGCCGCAGCUAACGCAUUAAGUGCCCCGCCUGGGGAGUACGGCCGCAAGGCUAAAACUCAAAGGAAUU